rnacentral:rRNA from 1 species
UACGUAGGGCGCAAGCGUUUGUCCGGAAUUAUUGGGCGUAAAGAGCUCGUAGGCGGUUUGUCGCGUCUGCUGUGAAAUCCCGAGGCUCAACCUCGGGCUUGCAGUGGGUACGGGCAGACUAGAGUGCGGUAGGGGGAGACUGGAAUUCCUGGUGUAGCGGUGGAAUGCGCAGAUAUCAGGAGGAACACCGAUGGCGAAGGCGGGUCUCUGGGCAGUAACUGACGC